UACGGAGGGUGCAAACGUUGCUCGGAAUCAUUGGGCGUAAAGCGCACGUAGGCGGUUCGGUAAGUCGGAUGUGAAAUCCCUCGGCUCAACCGAGGAAGGGCAUCCGAAACUGCCGGGCUUGAGUACGGAAGAGGGUCUCGGAAUUCCCGGUGUAGAGGUGAAAUUCGUAGAUAUCGGGAGGAACACCAGUGGCGAAGGCGGAGACCUGGGCCGAUACUGACGCUGAGGUGCGAAAGCGUGGGGAGCAAACAGG
rnacentral:rRNA from 1 species